AAAUCAGGAUGUUUCCACAGAGCUCUUCAAGGGACUGUGGGAGAUUCUGCUUGA
ensembl:miRNA mdo-mir-12304-1 mdo-mir-12304-1